GACAGAGGUGGGCCUGUGUCCCACAUAGAAAAUAAAGUUAUGUCAUAGGUAGACAAGGAUGGAUACUGAAGGAGGCAGGUCAAUUCCAAACAUUGACCAAUAUCCUUGUUGGCUACCUGAGACGUGAUAUUCUGUCACUAAAGAUUCAGCUGCCAAAGGAGCCAGACAUAGGUUCCUGCCUUUGUUCUUGCCCAGUUCACACCCAGGCUGGCAGACCCUCCCUUACUCUUGGUUAAUGUGCAUAUGCAGAACCCAGUGAUCAAGACAAAUUCUACCCAAUGAUGGCAUUGCUCAUUACCUCCACCCCAGGAAGCUCUUCCUGCCAUUAAUACAGCACUGAUGUGUGCUGUUUCUUUAAUCCUGGACCACAAAGAGCAGACAGUGUAUCCAGAUGUGGACUUUGAACAAUUGCUGCAGCCCAACCCCACUGACCACACAGGAUCUGCUCUUCGUUGCCACCUUAGGUCUGGGGUGGAGCCCUGCCAAGGAUGA